AUGUUGAGUAAUCCGUUCCAAAACCCCAAAAUGUCAUCCAAGAUAAGAGAAAAUUAAGAUUUAAGAAAAAUAAGCAGAUAACUAAGAUAAAACUAGUGCUUACAUAUAACAGUCAGGAAUAGCUGCUAACUAGUAACUAAUCCAGCUAUUUCACAAGAGAAGUGGCCUCGAUUGGUUGGGUCUGAGUCUGAGGCCUUGUCUGUGGAGUCUGGUUUCAACUUACGAUGGGUCAGUAAAGACCAUAC